rnacentral:rRNA from 1 species
CGACGGUACCUAACCCGAAAGCCACGGUUAAUUACCGGCCCGCAGCCCCCGGUAAUACGUAGGUGGCCAGCGUUGUUCUGAAAUUAUUGGGCGUAAAGGGCUCGCAGGCGGUUUCUUAAGUCUGAUGUGAAAGCCCCCGGCUCAACCGGGGAGGGUCAUUCAAACUGGCGAACUUGAGUGCAGAAGAGGAGAGUGGAAUUUCACGUGUAGCGAUGAAAUGCGUAGAGAUGUGGAGGAACACCAGUGGCGAAGGCGACUCUUUGGUCUGUAACUGACGCUGAGGAGCGAAAGCGUGGGGAGCGAACAGGAUUAGAUACCCUGGUAGUUCACGCCGUAAACGAUGAGUGCUAAGUGUUAGGGGGUUUCCGCCCCUUAGUGCUGCAGCUAACGCAUUAAGCACUCCGCCUGGGGAGUACGGUCGCAAGACUGAAAAUCAAAGGAAUUGACGGGGGCCCGCACAAGCGGUGGAGCAUGUGGUUUAAUUCGAAGCAACGCGAAGAACCUUACCAGGUCUUGACAUCCUUUGACAAUCCUAGAGAUAGGACGUCCCCUUCGGGGGCAGAGUGACAGGUGGUGCAUGGUUGUCGUCAGCUCGUGUCGUGAGAUGUUGGGUUAAGUCCCGCAACGAGCGCAACCCUUGAUUUUAGUUGCCAGCAUUCAGUUGGGCACUCUAAGGUGACUGCCGGUGACAAACCGGAGGAAGGUGGGGAUGACGUCAAAUCAUCAUGCCCCUUAUGACCUGGGCUACACACGUGCUACAAUGGACAGAACAAAGGGCAGCGAAACCGCGAGGUUAAGCCAAUCCCACAAAUCUGUUCUCAGUUCGGAUCGCAGUUUGCAACUCGACUGCGUGAAGCUGGAAUCGCUUGUAAUCGCGGAUCAGCAUGCCGCGGUGAAUACGUUCCCGGGCCUUGUACACCCCGCCCGUCACACCCCGAGAGUUUGUAACACCCGAAGUCCGUGAGGUAACCUUUUUGGAGCCCGCCGCCGAAGGUGGGACCAGAUGAUUGGGGUGAAGUCCGUAC